ACUCAAAGGAAUAGACGGGGGCCCGCACAAGCAGCGGAGCGUGUGGUUUAAUUCGACGCAACGCGCAGAACCUUACCCAGACUUGACAUCUAGUCGAAAAGGCUGGAAACAGUCUCCUCCGCAAGGACGGCUAGACAGAUGCUGCAUGGCUGUCGUCAGCUCGUGUCGUGAGAUGUUGGGUUAAGUCCCGCAACGAGCGCAACCCUCGCUGCCAGUUGGAUUCUCUGGCGGGACUGCCGGGACAAACCCGGAGGAAGGUGGGGAUGAUGUCAAGUCAGCACGGCUCUUACGUCUGGGGCUACACACACGCUACAAUGGCCGGUACAGAGGGCAGCUAAGCCGCGAGGCGGAGCAAAUCCCAAAAAGCCGGUCUCAGUUCGGAUUGCAGGCUGCAACUCGCCUGCAUGAAGUCGGAGUUGCUAGUAACCGCAGGUCAGCACACUGCGGUGAAUACGUUCCCGGGCCUUGUACACACCGCCCGU
rnacentral:rRNA from 1 species